rnacentral:rRNA from 1 species
UACGUAGGGGGCAAGCGUUAUCCGGAUUUACUGGGUGUAAAGGGAGCGUAGGUGGUAUGGCAAGUCAGAUGUGAAAGCCCGGGGCUCAACCCCGGGACUGCAUUUGAAACUGUCAGACUAGAGUGCAGGAGAGGUAAGUGGAAUUCCUAGUGUAGCGGUGAAAUGCGUAGAUAUUAGGAGGAACACCAGUGGCGAAGGCGGCUUACUGGACUGUAACUGACACUGAGGCUCGAAAGCGUGGGGAGCAAACAGG